rnacentral:rRNA from 1 species
CAUAUCAAUAAGCGGAGGAAAAGAAACUAACAAGGAUUCCCCUAGUAACGGCGAGUGAAGAGGGAAGAGCCCAAGAUUGAAAGCUGGCGUCUUCGGCGUCCGCAUUGUAAUCUCAAGAAGUGUUUUCCGCUUCGGACCAUGCCUAAGUCCCUUGGAAAAGGGCAUCAUAGAGGGUGAUAAUCCCGUACAUGGCAUGGAGCGCCCGUAGCUUUGUGAUACGCUUUCUAAGAGUCGAGUUGUUUGGGAAUGCAGCUCAAAAUGGGUGGUAAAUGCCAUCUAAGGCUAAAUAUUGGGGAGAGACCGAUAGCGAACAAGUACAGUGAUGGAAAGAUGAAAAGAACUUUGAAAAGAGAGUUAAACAGUACGUGAAAUUGCCAAAAGGGAAGGGUAGGAGGUCAGAGAUGCGUCUUGGGAUUCAGCCUUGCUUUUGCCUGGUGUUUUUCCCAAGCUGCAGGCCAACGUCGGUUUUGGGCACUGGAGAAGGGUAGGAGGAACGUGGCACCUCUCGGGGUGUGUUAUAGCCUCCUACUGGAUACAGCGACCGAGACCGAGGAACGCAGCGUACUCGUAAGAGCGGGCCUUUUGGCACCUUUACGCUUAGGGCGUUGGCAUAAUGGCCCUCUACCAC